rnacentral:rRNA from 1 species
AACGAACGCUGGCGGCAUGCCUAACACAUGCAAGUCGAACGAGACCUUCGGGUCUAGUGGCGCACGGGUGCGUAACGCGUGGGAACCUGACCUUAGGGUCGGAAUAACUCCCCGAAAGGGGUGCUAAUACCGGAUAAUGUCUUCGGACCAAAGAUUUUUCGCCUUUGGAUGGGCCCGCGUUGGAUUAGCUAGUUGGUAGGGUAAAAGCUUACCAAGGCGACGAUUCAUAGCUGGUUUGAGAGGAUGGUCAGCCACACUGGGACUGAGACACGGCCCAGACUCCUACGGGAGGCAGCAGUGGGGAAUAUUGGACAAUCGGCGAAAGCCUGAUCCAGCAAUGCCGCGUGAGUGAUGAAGGCCUUAGGGUUGUAAAGCUCUUUUACCCGGGAUGAUAAUGACAGUACCGGGAGAAUAAGCUCCGGCUAACUCCGUG